GACGUAGGGCGCGAGCGUUGUCCGGAUUUAUUGGGCGUAAAGAGCUCGUAGGCGGCUCGUUGCGUCGGCUGUGAAAACCCGCGGCUUAACUGCGGGCUUGCAGUUGAUACGGGCAGGCUAGAGUUCGGUAGGGGAGACUGGAAUUCCUGGUGUAGCGGUGAAAUGCGCAGAUAUCAGGAGGAACACCGGUGGCGAAGGCGGGUCUCUGGGCCGAUACUGACGCUGAGGCACGAAAGCGUGGGGAGCAAACAGG
rnacentral:rRNA from 1 species